ACCCAGGCUGGAGUGUAAUGGUGUGAUCUCUGCUCACUGCAACCUCCGCAUCCCAGGUUCAAGUCAUUCUCCUGCCUCACCCUCCCAAGUAGCUGGGAUUACAGGUGCCUGCCACCACACUCGGCUAAUUUUUAGUAGAGAUGGGAUUUCGCCACGUUGGCCAGGCUGGUCUCGAACUCCUGACCUCAAGUGAUCCUUCUGCCUUGGCCUCCCAAAGUGCUAGGAUUACAGGCGUGAGCCACCACGCCUGGCCACAACUUUGAUUUUCGACAUUAAUUUUUCUAUGAUGGUAUUUGCAUGCACCACCACAUCUGGCUAACCAAGUGAAGAUGAGGCCAAACUGGAUGAAGUUGGGCCUGAAAUCCAACGACUGGUGACCUUAUAAGGAGGGAGAGCUUCAAAGACCCAGGCAGUCAUAGAGGGAAGAAGGGCAAGUGGCAAAGAAGACAGAGAUUGGGUUUCUGUUGCCACCAAGGCUGCCAGAAGAGGCAAGGAAGAAUCCUCCCCUGGAGCCUUCAGAGGCGGGUGCCUGGCCCUGCUGACGGUUUGGUUUUGGACUUUUAGCCUCUAGAACUGUGCAAGAAUAAAUUUCUGUUGUUUUAAGCCA